ensembl:miRNA mir27b microRNA 27b
AGAGCUUAGCUGAUUGGUGAACAGUGAUUGAACUCUUUGUUCACAGUGGCUAAGUUCUGC